rnacentral:tRNA from 6 species
GCGCCCGUAGUUCAGUGGAAGAACACCUGCCUCUUAAGCAGAUCGUCCCAGGUUCGAAUCCUGGCGGGCGCA